rnacentral:rRNA from 1 species
AUUGAACGCUGGCGGCAGGCCUAACACAUGCAAGUCGAGCGAGCGGCGGACGGGUGAGUAAUGUAUGGGGACUGCCCGUUGGGGGGGGAUAAUUCCUGGAAACGGUGGCUAUUACGCCAAAUGUCCGGUUAACCCAUAGGGGAUUAGCUAGUAGGUAAGGUAAUGGCUUACCUAGGCGACGAUCCCUAGCUGGUCUGAGAGGAUGAUCAGCCACACUGGGACUGAGACACGGCCCAGACUCCUACGGAGGCAGCAGUGGGGAAUAUUGCACAAUGGGCGCAAGCCUGAUGCAGCCAUGCCGCGUGUAUGAAGAAGGCCCUAGGGUUGUAAAGUACUUUCAGUCGGGAGGCGUUACCGACAGAAGAAGCACCGGCUAACUCCGUGCCAGCAGCCGCGGUAAUUC